AUCGCUUCUCGGCCUUUUGGCUAAGAUCAAGUGUAGUAUCUGUUCUUAUCAGUUUAAUAUCUGAUACGUCCUCUAUCCGGGACAAUAUAUUAAAUGGAUUUUUGGGCAGGGAGGGAAUAGGAGCUUGCUCCGUCCACUCCGCGCAUCGACCUGGUAUUGCAGUACCUCCAGGAACGGUGCACCCCCU
rnacentral:snRNA from 1 species